rnacentral:rRNA from 1 species
UACGUAGGGCGCAAGCGUUAUCCGGAAUUAUUGGGCGUAAAGAGCUCGUAGGCGGUUUGUCGCGUCUGCUGUGAAAUCCCGGGGCUUAACCCCGGGCGUGCAGUGGAUACGGGCUGGCUGGAGGCAGGCAGGGGAGAACGGAAUUCCCGGUGUAGCGGUGGAAUGCGCAGAUAUCAGGAGGAACACCGGUGGCGAAGGCGGGUCUCUGGGCAGUAACUGACGCUGAGGAGCGAAAGCGUGGGGAGCGAACAGG